GAUUUGGUAGCUUAGGUUUAAAGCAUCAACCUCUUAAUUUGAAAGACGGGUAAAAUACCUUCAAAUUA
rnacentral:tRNA from 1 species